GCUCCUCAAUUUCAUCCUCGGGAGGCUUCCUCAUGCUCAGGGCUCCAUCUUUUACCAAGAUGGGUUUGUGCUCACCAACGCUUGAUGAAAUUGCUCAGUGAUCCCCUCCCCCAAACUCACUUCAAUAUUGAUCAUGCCACUGGUGCGUGCUGAAUUGUAGGCCUGCUAAGAGGAAGAGCAUGUUGCAUGACCAUUUCGAGAGGAACAACAACAAGGUUCAUAAUGGGAGGAAGAGAUACGGUAGCAUGUGUUUGUCUUUCAGUUACAUGUUGUCCUAACUGUAAUCUUGGGAUUAAUUUGUAUAAAAAUUCUUUCGCUUGCAUAAUAGAUGGGCACGGAACAGUUUUUUACC